rnacentral:rRNA from 1 species
AUGGCCACGAUGGGUGGGGACCGAAGGCAGAUGAUGGAGGAUGCGGCGGAUGACAAGUUCCCGGAGGGGUUACGCAUCCUCGUCGUCGACGACGACCGCGUCUGCCUCACGGUACUAGAAGCCCUCUUGCACCGUUGCAAGUACCAACCAACGACGGUGAUGGAUGCAAAGACGGCGCUGAGGAUGCUCAUGGCAGGGAAGCAGCAGUUCGACCUCGUCAUCACCGACGUGCGCAUGCCGGACAUGGACGGCUUCAAGCUCCUCGAGCUCAUCCGCCUCCAGAUGGAUCUGCCCGUCAUCAUGAUAUCCGUUGAUUGCAACAAGAAGGUUGUGAUGAAGGGGAUAGAUCAUGGCGCGUCUGACUUUAUGGUGAAGCCAGUGUGUACUCAUGAGCUCAAAAACAUAUGGCAACAUGUUCAAAGGUGGAGAAAUCCCAAAGCAAUAAGCCACAUCGGCGAUCAUGACAGUGAUGUCCAGAGAGUUCAACCAGCGACUGCUGACAAGAGUAAGUUAUUGGGAAAUAAGAGAAAUGCUGGAGAUGAUUCUAACAAGCACAAUGAGAGCACAUGUAUAUCCGCCACCCACAGAAAGCCCAGGGUGACAUGGACAAUUAAGCUGCAUAACAAGUUUCUAGAAGCUAUCAACCAGAUUGGCCUUGAUAGGGCUGUUCCAAAAAAGGUAUUGGAGCUAAUGAAUGUGGAUUGCCUCGGUAGAGAGAAUAUCGCAAGUCAUCUACAGAAGUAUAGAUUGCACUUAAAAAGAGUCAACUCAAAUCCCUCUGGUGAUGUAUAUGAAAGAUGGAACUCAUCGUACAACAUGAACAACAAGGGCAAUUUCAUGCAUAAUCAUGAACAUGGAAGAUGGAGUGCGUCCUCUGGCGACACUGCCUCUUGGAGUACAAACAACUAUGGUGCAACGGGUCACUUGGCUCCUCCGAUGAACACCCAAAGCAACUUCUACAUGGGGUCAUACCUCCAUGAUGGUAGAAUGUCGAGGUAUGUUGGGAAACAACCGUCGGAUGCGAUAAGAUUCACAGGUUUUGGUGACCCUCCCGUAAGCCUAUACAACAACAUACCCAAUGAGAUAAUGUUAGAUGAAUUUCCUUCAUUAAAUUAUAGUAAUUCCUGUGCGGACCUCAUGUGUGGCAAGCUAAUGGAGACAAGCAAAGGCAAAACCCCUUCCAAUCAUCAAAGUUCAUUUGCAAAUACAACAGUUGGUGGCGGGAGGUCUCUUGCCGCAUCAUAG